rnacentral:lncRNA from 1 species
AAUAAUCAAUUUUGGAAAAAGAAAAUAUUUGAGUUUUGCUUAUAUUAAUUAUUAAGUAAGGAAAAAUGGUUUCAAAGACUAGUUUCAUAGUUUUGGGUCUUCUUCUGGCUAUCGUUCUUCUCAUCUCUUCAGAGGUGGCAGCUAAGGAUUUGGGUGAGAGUUCUACUAAUUAAGCAUGAAUGCAUAAUCAACUCUCGCUGUAUCCAUGCAUGUGUACUUUUGUGAUAUUUAUCGUCCACAAUUAUGCUAUCUCAUUAUCUGCAUUUUUGUGUUACAUUUUUUUACCUACUUGAUGAGAAAGAAAAAGUGUUCAUCACUUUGUAUGAAAUGUAGAACAUUUAGCGCGCGUAGUCAUAAAUUCAUUACCAUCAUAAUUAAUUUUAUGCAUGUCUAUUCAAAAUUUUCAGAGACUGCUAAUGGAGUUGAGGGUGCUAAGUAUGAUGACAAUAAUGGUGGAUUCAACAAUGGAGGAGGUCGUGGUGGAGGAUUCAAUAACGGAGGAGGAGGUCGUGGUGGUAAUGGAGGAUUCAACAAUGGAGGAGGUCGUGGCGGUGGUAAUGGUAAUGGUAAUGGUAAUGGAGGAUUCAACAACGGAGGAGGUCGUGGUGGAGGAUUCAAUAACGGAGGAGGUCGGGGUGGUAAUGGAGGGGGAAGACAGGGUGGUAAUGGAGGAGGAGGUCGUGGCGGUAAUGGAGGAGGAGGUCGUGGCGGUAAUGGAGGAGGAGGCCGUGGUGGAAAAUGCUGCUGAAAUCGUUAAUCCCUAUAUCAAAUCUGAAGGCGACUAUUAUGAUACGUACCUCAGAAUAAAAACAAUAUGUAGUGUUGCUGUGCUAGGUGCUUAAAUCUGUUCAUGCAGUGAGUCUUCUAGAAAAAUUGUUUUCAUUUUGCACUUGUGAUAUGUGUGUUCAAAUUUCCAUAGUGUAAUAAAAUGGGCGCUACUGAUGGUUUGGUUUUACGUAUUUAGCUUUUAAUUCAAAAACAAAUUCAACAAAAA